AUGAACGCUGGCGGCGUGCUUAACACAUGCAAGUCGAACGGAAAGGCUCCUGCUUGCAGGGGUACUCGAGUGGCGAACGGGUGAGUAACACGUGGGUGACCCGCCCUGCACUUCGGGAUAAGCCUGGGAAACUGGGUCUAAUACCGGAUAGGACGAUGGUUUGGAUGCCAUUGUGGAAAGUUUUUUCGGUGUGGGGUGAGCUCGCGGCCUAUCAGCUUGUUGGUGGGGUAAUGGCCUACCAAGGCGUCGACGGGUAGCCGGCCUGAGAGGGUGUACGGCCACAUUGGGACUGAGAUACGGCCCAGACUCCUACGGGAGGCAGCAGUGGGGAAUAUUGCACAAUGGGCGCAAGCCUGAUGCAGCGACGCCGCGUGGGGGAUGACGGCCUUCGGGUUGUAAACUCCUUUCGCUAGGGACGAAGCGCAAGUGACGGUACCUGGAGAAGAAGCACCGGCUAACUACGUG
rnacentral:rRNA from 1 species